UACGAAGGGUGCUAGCGUUGUUCGGAAUUACUGGGCGUAAAGCGCGCGUAGGCGGCUUAACAAGUCAGGGGUGAAAUCCUGGGGCUCAACCCCAGAAUUGCCCUUGAAACUGUUGAGCUUGAGUGUCGGAGGGGAUAGCGGAAUUCCUAAUGUAGAGGUGAAAUUCGUAGAUAUUAGGAGGAACACCGGUGGCGAAGGCGGCUAUCUGGACGACAACUGACGCUGAGGCGCGAAAGCGCGGGGAUCAAACAGG
rnacentral:rRNA from 1 species